CAGGAGGUCACUGUGAGUCUUGUACUGGGGAGCCCAAACACAGAGGCAGUGCUGCAGACGUGAUCUGGAAAAUGCUGGAUGGGUUGGAAGAGAAUAAUUUUCCUUGGCCUAGUUGCUACACUUUUGCCAGUACAGCCCAGUACCUGUUUGGUCUCUUCUGCAAGACAAGUUUAAAGAGUAAGGAACAAAUCACAGAGUGAACUGGAUUUCAUUUGUGCAGAUGUGACCAUGUUGUCCCUCACUUCCAAGGGACAGUCCUAGCUUGGGUCUUUUUGAGCAGGAAGCAGCACUGAAGGAUCCUGAUCACUUUUAGAGAUACCUGUGCUUUAUCUUAUCAAGUGAUAGUUUCAAUCCAAUGUGGAACUUGCCUUGAGUUUCUAUCUGCUUCAAAAUGUUUGAGGUUUUUUAGGUCCUGCUGCUAAUAAAUUGGACUAGGGCAUUAAGAAUGAACCUCUAAAGGAACAGGACUUGCUUCAUAAUUUUCCUUUGUUGCACACUGAGUUUUUGAGUUUGUAAAUGCCAUCCUUCAGUAAAUGAUCUGUCUUCUCUUGCCAGCCAGUCUCUUGGGCAGCUCCUAUUUCUGCUCCUCAUCAGUUUUCCCCCUCUAUUUGUCUGUCAACUCCAGAGUCCUUUAAUCCAACUCCUAAAUUAAUUCCAUUGCUUGAAGGUCUGCAUCUGGCAAGGAUUCUUGUGUUAGGUUGCAGUUACAUGAGUAAACAAUCUGUUGUAGAACUUUUUGUGUCCUGGGUGAAAAAUUAAGCCCUAGCUGCUGCUAUUAUAGCAUACACUACUGCUGGAAAGUGUAGCUUCCAAUGGAGCCAGCUGUGCUGCAGAAAACUGUUACACUACAAGGUCAUCUGGAUUGCUGGAGCUGGUGGGGUUGGGAGGCGAUGCCUCCUUGCAUGUUGAUCUGCACCUGAUGCAAAGGCAGCUGGGCAAUCUCUGGGCUGUGAUUUGUUAGAUCAGCUUCUCUCUCUGCUGGGUGGGUUGUUUGCAGCUCAGUGCACGUGUUUGUGCAUACAGGUGUGGAUACACCCUCAUGCCAUAAUCAGCAGUGGGAAUUUCAUAGCUGUGAGGGUGGGAUUUCUCUGUUAGGGUGUCUUUCAUGGGGCAAUAAUACACCAGGGAGCGUUUUACUUUGGCCUGAGCAAGACAUUUUGAAAAAUACUUGGUUUUCUUGGAGCACUAUAUUUAAAUUCCAAAUUUUGAAUCAAUUUUUGACGUUUGUAUUUAUAUGUUCAGAAAAUUCUUUUGAUACCUUUUCAAUUUACCAACACUGAAUUAAAACCUUUCAGAAUGUAUGGUUGGUCCUCUCCUUAUGUGUCACUUUAAGUUUCAGAGCACGAGGGUGGUUGUGCCAAAUCUAUCCCUUUGCUCUCAAGACAGAAAAAAAAAACCAUUGACAAUUCAUGGGUGGCAGCUAAGGAAGAAACCCUUUAAAUAUUUUUUUUUUCAGAGAAUAUUAAAUUAGAUCUGUGUAAACAUGAAAUCUAUAUUUAUUAAUGUGUGAGUGUGUAAGCGUGUGUGUCAAUGUAGAUAUAUAAAUGGUCCAUGACUAUUUCUUUCUCUUAAAUGGUACUUACACAGACUUUUAUACAGUGUGUUGGUAAAUUCCUGUACCAGGCACUGACUCUGAAAGAACGAUUAACCUAUUUUUGUAAUGAAUGUGAGCAGCCAGUGGAAGCAGCUUUACUUCUGUGAUUGCUUUCAUUCCUCUCGCAGAGCAGAAGAGGCAACUUGGUACUUGCAUCUUCCUUGUGUAGGAUCCCUGCUUCUGGCUUUGUCCUGCUUUCAGCAACCCCAGUCCACGCUGCUUUUCUGGCAAGAAAACCCCCAAAUGGCACUAGUGAAAGCUGGAAUCCCUUUUUGUCUGCAGUUCUCUCUAAAUGCAGUAUCAGGGAGUUCUUUACAGAUUCUGCUCUAAGCAGAAAUUCUCUAUGAGGAUCUGAGUGGAAGCUUCACCUCAGCAAUCACUGGCUGCUGAUGGGGCUUCAGGGAGGACAAGGGUUGGUGAUAGGAAGAGUGACCAGAAUAGGAGCAGUGAAAGGAAGCAGCUUUCCUCCUCAUCCAGCAGAAAACAGCCCCUGUGAAACCCAGACUUCCCCUAAUAUUUUGUUGUUGCCUCGUGUCUGCUGCCAAGUUAUGCUGUGAUCUGGAUCUCUGUCCUGCUUCUACCCCACCUCAGUUUCACUUAAAGCAGUCUGAGGCAGAGCCUUCCUUAAAGCUAAAGGCAACAGUGAGGAGAAAUGUCUGGUAGCUGAAGAAAAAUGAGAUUUAAAUGGAGCAGAAAAAGUGAGAAUUCCUUCUGUUUCACUGUCUUGCUGCUAAAAGUCUGGUGCAGAACAUCCUGAUGUUCUGCUGAUUUAUAUGCUGCUCUUGGGAGGUGGGCAGGCUGCUAAGUUGGCUCUGUAGCAAUUGAAUUACUGUAAACCUGAACUUGCUUAAUCUCUCCUUUUUUUCUCCCUCAAAUGGGCUUGAAGUAGAGGGAACCAGAGUAUUGUUUGUAAGAUCUUUUUGCUUUAAUAGAAAACAGAAUGUAAAAAAAGAAAAAAAAAACAACAACAAAAGCAAAACCAAACUCAUUCAAAUACAGUGAUACAGAAAAUGGCUUUAAAAUAUGAAAAUCUUACAAGACCAUAUGUUGUGUUGGGUUCUGGACAUGCAGUUUGUGCUGGGGAGGCUGGACUUGUCCAGCCUGCCAGCCAACCUCCACGUAGCCAAAAAGAGCAUUUUAAGAGUCUGUAGCUAUCCAAAGGACUGUUAUCCAAAGGACUGAUAAAAGCUGUUUAGGGAUAAAUCAAAAGCUGUGUGUGAGCAAUGGAUGGUAAAGCUGGAAAUUCAGAUCCAACUCUGAAUAAUUGCUCUUAGUAAAAAACAGAUUCAGAAAAAUCCAACUUUCCCCCUGUUCUGCAGACGCUCAUUCCCACCGAGUCCCCGGGGAAGGCUGAGAGGAGAACCUGAAAUACCUCAAUGGCUUCACAGAAGGGUUUGCUACAGAGAUCUGGGCCAGCCUUACCCCUUUCACCUCAGUUUGGCACUUAUUUUAUAAAAUAAGAAGGUGAUUGAAAGGGGAAACUAAAGCCAUGCUUGCAUUUCAGUUCCUGGUGUUGCCUGUGCAAGACACCUCCAGCCAGAUGUUUCGAGGUUUGUGGGGUUGUUUUUUUUUUUUUUUACAGCUGAUAUCAAAAGUUGUUGUUUUAUUUUAUUUUUAUUUUUUUUUUUUGUGACUUGUUUUCGUUAUCAGUGCUUUUUAAAAAGCAGGUGUGUAUCCCAAGGGGGGAAGCUCCAUGUGGGGCAGUGGAUGUGAAGUUCAUGUUGUUUCUCUGGCCAUGUUUGCAGCGCUGCUCCUGUGAGAUGUCCAAGGCAGCCGUGGCUCCCACCAGUGUGUGGGAUCCUGCAUCCCAGGAGCAGGACCUGUGUUUCCACAUCAAAUGGGAUACAGUGGUUUUGUUUGUUUGUUUUUUUUAAUAUAGAGCCAUACAUUUUUUAAGUAAUUUGAGAUCUGAAUGUGAUUUCUAAUGUAUCGAGAACGUUAAUAUUUUAAAGCUAUAACAAAGGUUUAAAUUUCUACUUUUUUUUUUUUUUUUUCCAUUUAUUUUAACUGUUCUGUUACCUUAAUUUGAUGUAUGUGGUUGGGGAAUGUUGCUUCUCCUCUUAGCAUUUGUUUCUAUAACCAGAAAUAAAAUUAUAUAUGAAAGAGAAAA